UGACAUGAUGAUGAUCCACAAUAACAGAAGGACAAAGUCACUCUGCUGCUUUUAGAGAAAAGCUGAUUGAUGAGGACAAAGUAAUGUUGAUCUGCACAUUCAGAACCUGAACACAUCUGAUGGAUCAUCAAUGAUUUUAUACACAUCUUUUAUUCUUUAUUCAGAUUGAUUGGCUGCAGUUUGUCAGAGAUCAGCUGUGAUUCUCUGGUCUCAGCUCUGAAGUCCAACCCCUCCCAUCUGGAACAUCUGGACCUGAGUGGAAACAACCUGCAGGAUUCAGGAGUCAAACAUCUGAGUGGUUUUCUGGAGAGUCCAGACUGCAUCCUGAAGACUCUGAGAUGGAAGUGAUGCUGAUCAGGACGGUGUUUGUGCUGAGAGGAUGAAGUGUGUCCUGAUGAUCCAGAUGUUGAAGCAGCAGCAGCUGGUGUGUAGAGACUCUGACUGGACCAUGUUACUGCACUGUAAAACAUCAGGAAUUCAUUCAGUCACAUCAACUCAUCUGUUCUAGUUUACUUUAGAGAAAUACAGGAGUUUUACUAAUUACUAAUUAUUUGAACUUAAAAUGUUUCAUUUUUCUUUUCAGACCACUUUAGAACUAAAGAACAUGAAUUUGUAGAACUUGAGGCAUUUUUUCUUCAAAUAUUGAGUUGAAUGAAUGAACAGCUCAGAGUUCACUCAACUCAUGAAAUUAAGUUCACAAGAAACAAAACAAACACAGAUUUCCCCGUUAAUGUUCACAUGAUACCAUGACUGUAAAAAAUGAUCAUUAUUUUACAACCAGUUCUGUUGUUUUGUUCAAUUACAAACAAUAUCUAGUAAAAUCCCAGAAAAGUAUUAACUUCCAUGUUCAACUGUAAAUAAUGUCCACAUCAAUAGGGUUAGGUAUUUUAAUAAAUACUCAUUUGUUCUUUAACAACAUUUUUACUUUAUUUUAAUCAGCAACAAGUCACAUUAUUUUACAGAUAUUUGUCCUCAUUUUAAAGACUAUUUAUGUUUAUUAAAGAUUGAAAAUGAGAAAUAUUUUAACACUUAAUUGACAUUUUUGCUGUGUUUUGUUAAAUUACAGAUAAUCUGGAAUAAAAUCACAGAAAAAAUGUUCAUUUAUUCAGAAUGUUUGCUGUAAAAAACUGUAGAAUAAUGUGAACAUUAAAAUUCACUAUUUUAAUAAAUGUUCAUUUGUUCUUUUAUACCAUUUAACUCUCACACUCUUGUUUAUUGAAUUUAAAUCAGCAAAAAAUAUCAUUUUUCCAGAAUCUGAAGGACAAACUAUGUAUAUGUAUACGAUAUAUAUUAAUUCUAUUAAAGGCAGAAAUGAUUCCAAAGCAUUCCACUGUUUUAUUUGACAGUUUUGCAGGAUUUAGUUCAAUUACAGAUAAUCUGUGUAAAAUGAUAAAAAAGUGUUAAUUUCUACAAUUUUAGAAUCUUUCUUUUUCCAACUAGUAAAUUGUUGUUGUACAAUGUGUGACCAAUAAAAAUGACUGUUUUCCUGU